UGGAAUAUGCAAUGAAGUCACAACAAAGCCCAUCACCGUGGUAGCUUCAGGGCUGGUCAUUGUUUUUCAAAUAUCGUACCCUCACUCAUUCGAUAAACACCCGGCUUGUGGUGCGAUGGAGUACGCCACACUUCAUGAUAUCCCUACGCCAGCAGCUCAUACUGACAGCAUGCCUGCAGGUGGAGGACGCUGCGGAACGGAUGCGGCACACUCAAAGUAAACAUAACUGUUGAUUGAUUUAUCCAAUUCCUUUACCAUUCGAAAGGAAGUCGUCUGUUUGGACAGGAGACCACCAGGUCUCCUCCGUGUUUGUUGUUCCACCUUUCCCUGUGCGCAUCAAGCCAAUGAGCGGCAUCUAUCGAGUGGGUGUCCAGGACAAUCAGACGGUUCUACGUGCCUCUAGGGACAACAAUUUCGCUAACGGGAGCACAAAUCGAUUUCUAGAGUAGUAGCGUAUCCACUGACAUGCUUGCUGCACCGAAUAAACACAUCCACCAUCACGACUGGGGGAACUCCUCCUUCAUCCGGUUUAUUGGAUGAAGUAGCGUAGCAUAAAAUUGCACACUUAAUUACUUUGUUGCGAAGCCCGGCUGCACUUCCUGCAUUGUGUAUUUGCUGUCUGCGCCUUUAACGUGAGCAGCACCAGGCUACUUCACAUACUUUGAUCAGCCAGUGUGGCAGGCGCAUUCUAAGGGAACUGACCCACCGUACCGGCUGCCGUGGUGGUGAUGCGUUCUCGAAGAAGGGGGGAAUUUGGAAAUUGGAUCGAAGGGCAACAUGGCGAACGUGUAUCGGGCACGUACACACCACACGUGGAUGGGAGCGUGUUUUGCCCCUUUUUCGCCAAGAUAAACGAGGAGAACAUCGGAUAAUGUAACUUUGCUCAUUUCACGCACCAUCGGAGGGUUCAAUAGAGGGGGACUCGUCUGCUUUUGCUGCGUUGGUUUGGUUGGAUGAUAAAUGGAGAAAUUUACACGCCAUAUGUUGUUUCACAGUUCCGAACAACAGUCUCGAUAAAGGUAGCUCCCCCAGCACGUAUUGCAACAUCACUGACAACACUUCAGACAUUCCUUGCAACCUAUUUUCCUUAUCAUAUGGUUCGAUAAAAUAAAACCGAGGUGUGGAAAAUA